GUGUCUUUGUUUCUUUAGGCUCUCCAGGUAUUUACUUCUGAACUCUUUCAAUGUUCUUUUGUUAUCAACACUUUGAUCAAUUCAGAUAAAGUGCCAUGAUGGUCUUUCAUAUGGUAGUUUACCAUAAACUAUCCAUAUAAACUAAUCAAGGAUCGCAGGAUCAAAUCCAUAAGCAAUUCCUUAUGCAUGGUCAUGUCGAGUCUUUUAAGCUCUUUAAUGUCCUCGAUCAUUAUCAAAUAACGAUCAUAGACUGACU
rnacentral:lncRNA from 1 species